CAAGCUUCAACAUCAAUAAAAUCUCCAGCACAUUUACAGCCUGUAUUGUAAACUACACUGAAAACAUACUUUACACACAAUUUUCAGCUCAGUAUUAUGUUAUCCUCUUCAUUCAAGUAAUAUGUAAACUCUUCUCGAAUGUAAAACGAACGAUCUACUCUUAACAGUAACCCAAAUAUGGCACUGUGUAUUCGGUUGAAUAGCCAAUCAUUUCAAAUCAAGUUGAGCGGGUCUGCAUCGUUAUUUUGACGAAGUUUGAAACCAGUGGUAAUUUUUUGGCACUUCAUCUAGAUUUGAGAAGAUUCUUGCCUUGACAACUGCUCGAACUCCCGGGUUGGCAUGCUCUGAAGGUAUAGUGAAUUCAGUAUGCAGAUUGUUGAAGGGAAAACAUCAAGACGGGGCGAGGAAGACAACAAAACAUGAUUACCCAGAUUGAGGAUCCCAGUGUUCUUUGCAUGAUUGUCAUCUUCAAUUUGAGGGACUCUCACCUAAAGUCCUUUUACUGUUCCAUAUCAGGAAAAAGUUCAUGAGCUGAAACAUGCGAUUGGGGAAAAAGGAAAAGCAUUAGGAAAAUGCCUGCAUGGGGAGAAAAGUUUUGAACUCUGAAAAGGGAGGUGUGACAAAAACAUUUUGACAGUUGUUCAGUACCC